CUGCGCUCAACUAGUCCAUUUUGCUUAUAGGCACCUUCUUACCCGAGUGAAAUGAUCCAGAAGUGUUUCAGUGGUUACCAUCAUAAGAGCUGUUUAAAUUCUCUAAAUGUUAAGGAAUGGAGCGUCAAUGCUUCUAAUAUCUCCUUUAGCAGAGGAAACCUCGGACGAUCCUUAUUGAAAGGAAAAAGGAAACUACCACCUGUCAGAGCACAGCCUACAGCACAGAGUACCAUACUCUUUAUCAUCCUGAAUCCUACACAUUGGACACUCCUGCACUCUGAAGUGUUUUUCCGUUGACACAUCAGGCAACAUGUAGCCCGUCUUUCAGGCUGCUGGGAUCUCCAUGUGGCUGGCCAUCAGUGUGGGUCGGGGUCCUGCAUACUGCGGCUGGCCUGAGCCGCGCCGUCCGUUC